ACCAAGAUGGCCGAGUGGUCUAAGGCGGUGCAUUUAAGCUGCACUAUCGAGAGAUGCCUGGGUUCGAACCCCAGUCUUGGUA
rnacentral:tRNA from 2 species